CCGGUUGAUCCUGCCGGACCCGACUGCUAUCGGAUUGAGAUUAAGCCAUGCGAGUUGAACAUUUUUUAACUAUGUGAAAAGUGUAGCAUACGGCUCAGUAACACGUAGUCAACCUACCCUAAAGUCACAGAUAACCCCGGGAAACUGGGAUUAAUAGGUGAUAUGUCAUUUUUUCUGGAAGGGUUUAUGAUUUAAACGAUUGUCAAGCUUGUUUGAUUAAUUGCCUUAGGAUGGGACUGCGACCGAUCAGGUUGUUGGUGGGGUAAUGGCCUACCAAGCCGAUAACCGGUGCGGGCUUUGAGAGAAGGAGCCCGGAGAUGGACACUGAGAAAAGGGUCCAGGCCCUACGGGGCGCAGCAGGCGCGAAAACUUCGCAAUGUGCGAAAGCACGACGAGGUUAGUCCGAGUGUCAUUUGCUGAAUUUGACUUUUCAUAAAUGUAAGUAGUUUAUGGAAUAAGGGGAGGGAAAGUCUGGUGUCAGCCGCCGCGGUAAUACCAGCUCCCCGAGUGGUUGGGACGAUUAUUGGGCCUAAAGCAUCCGUAGCCUGUUUUGUAGGUCUCAUGUUAAAUCCAUUCGCUCAACGAAUGGUCUGCAUGAGAUACCACAUUGCUAGGAGGCGGGAGACGUGAACGGUAUUCCAUGGGUAGGGGUAAAAUCCUCUGAACCAUGGAAGACCACCAGUGGCGAAGGCGGUUCACGAGAACGCGCUCGACGGUGAGGGAUGAAAGCUGGGGUGGCGAACCGGAUUAGAUACCCGGGUAGUCCCAGCUGUAAACGAUGCAAGCUAGGUGAUGGAUUAGCCAUGUGUUAAUCCAGUGCCGCAGGGAAGCCGUUAAGCUUGCCGCCUGGGGAGUACGGUCGCAAGGCUGAAACUUAAAGGAAUUGGCGGGGGAGCACCACAAGGGGUGAAGCCUGCGGUUCAAUUGGAUUCAACGCCGGAAAG
rnacentral:rRNA from 1 species